AGGGCCCAUCCGAGAGGAGAUCAAGGUCUCUCCACCAACACCCGUGAACCCCGUCCAAAGCUUUUCUACACACUUGAAAAGUAAUCACAGUAAAAUGUAAGCAACAAUAUGAUUUCCAUCCUGGAUUACUGAUAUUGCGAAAAGAAGAUCGUUAUACAAGGGUGGCACUGAACACACAAAAAACAAAUGAUUCAUGAUAGCAUUAGAGGCACCAGCAAAGGACACACUUUUAAAGAAAGGAAUCUGCUCCCCUGUGGCUCUCCAAAUCAUACUCCUUAGGCCCCACAUCUACAGGGAAGACUCAGGUAGAGACUGCGAGGAUCUCAACUGCCUGGUGGGCCACAAGAUCACUUCUGCUUCAGGCUGGAAUGCUCCUUCUCCACAGAGUCCAGAAACUGACGUAUGCAAACACCCACCCAGAAGGACAUGUCCAAGAAGGAAUGGAAAGAAAAAUGAUGGCCCAGAUGUUCUGUAGCUUGCAGUGACUGUCAAUUCACCGUAGACCCCAGCACCUGGGAGGGCAAGGCAGCAUCAGGCUCUUGCUUCCUGGUUUCAGGCAGCCAGGGCCCUGAUGGUGGGUGGCAACUCUGACAGCAUGCAGACUGGCCAGGGGAGAAACCUUUAGAAGGGCACUGGCUGACGGGACUUGGGGGUUGAACACACAGGGCUGAUUUAUCACUUCCUUACUCAUAAAAAUGUGAUUCAAACUGCU